rnacentral:rRNA from 1 species
AUUGACCGCUGGCGGCAGGCCUAACACAUGCAAGUCGAGCGAGCGGCGGACGGGUGAGUAAUGUCUGGGAAACUGCCUGAUGGAGGGGGAUAACUACUGGAAACGGUAGCUAAUACCGCAUACCAUCAGAUGUGCCCAGAUGGGAUUAGCUGGUAGGUGGGGUAACGGCUCACCUAGGCGACGAUCCCUAGCUGGUCUGAGAGGAUGACCCGCCAAACUGGAACUGAGACACGGUCCAGACUACUACGGGAGGCAGCAGGGGGGAAGAUUGCACAAUGGGCGCAAGCCUGAUGCAGCCAUGCCGCGUGGGUGAAGAAGGCCUUCGGGGUGUAAAGCACUUUCAGCGGGGAGGCGUUACCCGCAGAAGAAGCACCGGCUAACUCCGUGCCAGCAGCCGCGGUAAAC